AUUGAACGCUGGCGGCAUGCCUUACACAUGCAAGUCGAACGGCAGCACGGGUGCUUGCACCUGGUGGCGAGUGGCGAACGGGUGAGUAAUACAUCGGAACGUACCUUAUCGUGGGGGAUAACGCAGCGAAAGUUGCGCUAAUACCGCAUACGCCCUGAGGGGGAAAGCGGGGGACCGUAAGCCCUCGCGCGAUUAGAGCGGCCGAUGUCUGAUUAGCUUGUUGGUGAGGUAAAAGCUCACCAAGGCGAUGAUCAGUAGCUGGUCUGAGAGGACGAGCAGCCACACUGGGACUGAGACACGGCCCAGACUCCUACGGGAGGCAGCAGUGGGGAAUUUUGGACAAUGGGGGCAACCCUGAUCCAGCAAUGCCGCGUGAGUGAAGAAGGCCUUCGGGUUGUAAAGCGCUUUUGUCAGGGAAGAAACAGCAGCUCUAACACAGUCUGCGAAUGACGGUACCUGAAGAAUAAGCACCGGCUAACUACGUGCCAGCCGCCGCCGUAA
rnacentral:rRNA from 1 species